rnacentral:lncRNA from 1 species
UCCGCCGUAGAUAAUCUUCCUGAAGAUAAUCCAUUUAGUACUCCAUUGAAGUUUUCCACAAACAACUGAUGCAGGCAGGUUGCAAGUAAUUCAAUAAAAUAACUUAUAGCAGCUUCUUGGUUUGAUGAGAUUAAUUAAAUCGAUCUAAAAUAGUGGUGGAUUAUAUUCUCUACAAAUUCAACUUUUGAGAAGAUGGUAUACAAGAUUGGAAUGCGGAGACUCAAAUUUGAAACAAGGUUUUCAUCAGGAGAAGAAUACGUGAUGCACUCUUUUUUCCUUACUAAGGUUUUUUCCCAUGGGAUUUUCCUUAUAAGGUUUUUAAUGAGGCACCAAGCAAUGCGUAUUACUAAAUAUGUGUACUCAAUACGCGAUGCACUCUUUUUUCCUUACUAAGGUUUUUUUCCCAUGGGAUUUUUCUUACAAGGUUUUUAAUGAGGCAC